ACGCUUGAAGUCAGUCACGUCGGCCAGGACUCAGCCUUGCUUUUGCUUGGUGCACUUUCUGGUUUGAUGGGCCAACAUCAAUUUUGACCGUUGGAGAAAGGCUUUGGGAAUGUGGCACCUUUGGGUGUGUUAUAGCCCUUUGUUGUAUACAACGGUUGGGAUUGAGGACCGCAGCACGCCUCACGGCCGGGGUUCGCCCACGUACGUGCUUAGGAUGUUGGCAUAAUGGCUUUAAGCGACCCGUCUUGAAACACGGACCAAGGAGUC
rnacentral:rRNA from 1 species